UACGUAGGGUGCGAGCGUUAAUCGGAAUUACUGGGCGUAAAGCGUGCGCAGGCGGUUCGUUGUGUCGGCGGUGAAAGCCCCGGGCUUAACCUGGGAAUGGCCGUCGAAACUGGCGAACUGGAGUGUGGCAGAGGGGGGUGGAAUUCCGGGUGGAGCGGUGAAAUGCGUAGAGAUCCGGAAGAACACCGACGGCGAAGGCAGCGUCCUGGCCGAGCACUGACGCUCAGGCACGAAAGCGCGGGGAGCGAACGGG
rnacentral:rRNA from 1 species